GGACGUACCAAUGGUGUACCUGUUGUCUCGCCAGAGGCAUUGCAGGGUAGCUAUGUACGGAAGAGAUAAACACUGAAUGCAUCUAAGUGUGAAACUCGCCUCAAGAUUAGAUAUCUCAUAACAUAAGUUAGUAAGACCCCUUGAAGACUACAAGGUUGAUAGGCUGGAGGUGGAAGUGCAGUAAUGUAUGCAGCUGACCAGUACUAAUAGGUCGAGGGCUUAUUCAA
rnacentral:rRNA from 1 species